GGGGGGGCAAGACCUGACCCGCUUAGCCAGCACUGUGCCAGCCUCGCCAGGGGCUGCCUGGGGAGAGCUGUGGUUCUCACUGGGUCAAUAUUUGUUCUGUCGUUUCAACAUCUUUGGAGGAAAAAAAAACCUUCUCUGUUAAAUAUUCUCCAGAAAUGCAAUUCUGGUCAGGGCAAGAAAAAAUUUUAGCCACGUCGGUGGUCGCCUACUUAAUCUGUGGCCCUACCCUCAAAACCACUUGGAAACACAUCGACUGAUUGUGAUGCAACUUUACCUCAAAGCCAUAAUGUCAUUUUGCUUUGUUUUCAAGUGAGCUGAGUAAUGGGGAGCUCCUCUGAUUUGAUCAAAGGGGUCAGAAGGUGCAACUUGAGAUGAAUGGAAGGAAGGUUGUGAUACCUCAAAUGAUUUUACUGUCGUGGGAUUCCUUCCUUAGAGUUGUGCCUCCAUGGUCCAAAAUGGAAAGAAUGAAAGAACUGAGAUGAACUACAAUCAGACCUGAAAGAAGAGAAAGCAGAGAGUGAA